ACACGGUCCAGACUCCUACGGGAGGCAGCAGUGGGGAAUAUUGGACAAUGGGCGAAAGCCUGAUCCAGCCAUGCCGCGUGUGUGAAGAAGGUCUUCGGAUUGUAAAGCACUUUAAGUUGGGAGGAAGGGCCGUUACCUAAUACGUGAUGGUUUUGACGUUACCGACAGAAUAAGCACCGGCUAACUCUGUGCCAGCAGCCGCGGUAAUACAGAGGGUGCAAGCGUUAAUCGGGAUUACUGGGCGUAAAGCGCGCGUAGGUGGUUCGUUAAGUUGGAUGUGAAAUCCCCGGGCUCAACCUGGGAACUGCAUUCAAAACUGUCGAGCUAGAGUAUGGUAGAGGGUGGUGGAAUUUCCUGUGUAGCGGUGAAAUGCGUANAUAUAGGAAGGAACACCAGUGGCGAAGGCGACCACCUGGACUGAUACUGACACUGANGUGCGAAAGCGUGGGGAGCAAACAGGAUUAGAUACCCUGGUAGUCCACGCCGUAAACGAUGUCAACUA
rnacentral:rRNA from 1 species